rnacentral:pre_miRNA from 1 species
AUGUGACCGUUACAAUGGGCAUGUUAUAUCCUAAAAAUGCCCGCUGCAGCGUUCACAACA